UACGUAGGUGGCAAGCGUUGUCCAGAAUUACUGGGUGUAAAGGGCGCGUAGGCGGGAAUGCAAGUCAGAUGUGAAAUCUCAAGGCUUAACCUUGAAACUGCAUCUGAAACUGUAUUUCUUGAGUGUCGGAGAGGAAAGCGGAAUUCCCCGUGUAGCGGUGAAAUGCGUAGAUAUGGGGAGGAACACCGGUGGCGAAGGCGGCUUUCUGGACGAUAACUGACGCUGAGGCGCGAAAGCGUGGGUAGCAAACAGGAUUAGAUACCCUGGUAGUCCACGCUGUAAACGAUGGAUACUAGGUGUAGGAGGUAUCGACCCCUUCUGUGCCGCAGUUAACACAAUAAGUAUCCCACCUGGGGAGUACGGCCGCAAGGCUGAA
rnacentral:rRNA from 1 species